UUUUUUUUGUUUUAUAAAUAAUGAGGCUCUCCCGUCUAUACUACUGAAAGAUAGAGGGCCUUAGGCCGCCACCCUCUCCUCCUCUCUGUUUGUCUCUUGUCUUCGUUUAAUGAAUCCCAUCAACCUCUUUUCUUCGAUUCUUUAUUUUUCUCUACUACCUUAGGGCAUCUCUUUUCUCCCCCUCGCCUUCCUGCUUCGAGUCCAUCCCUUCUUCACUCUCUCUUAAGACGCUGCCUGGCGGAGACAGAGGCAAAGGCGAGGUCAUGAGGUCGAUGUUGUGUGGGUCUUCUUCUCCUCGGCGCAUGGUGGAGGCAAGGUCUGGUAUUAUUCUUCUUUCCUAGACGCUGAUUCCCUUGUUGUCUUUCUGGCCUCCCUCCCCCGUUCCUCAACCUCACCAUUCAUCUCUCAAUAUUGAGGAAUUGAAUUGAUUUUGCGAUGUCUGAAGCAAGAGGGAAUGAGAUAAUUGAUGUUGAGCUUCGUGAAUCAUUCUCUACAAUUAGCAUAAUUUUUUAUUGCUUAUUGGUGCAGAAUAUGAAGGGUUGGUGGAUUGCUAGACUAAGAUGGUGGUGUUAGGGAACUGCUUAUGGGAAAAGAUGAUGAGACAGAAAAAUGGAAAAUAGCUUAGUGGCGGGAAGGGUUCUUGGAAGCUUGGGGAAUGUGUAUUGAGGCGAAAUGGAUUCAAGGAGUCGAGAGUUUUGGUUUUCGAGGAUGUAGUCUUUAUUUAUGGUUUAUGUGUAUUUUUCCGCACCUAUUUAUGUAAUCUCUUUUCAUUACAAUUAAGUAAUGUUUUCUUUUUAAAACAAUGGGAUCCCAUAUCCUACUUUGAGUUUUAUGUAAGUUUAACAUUUGUUUUUACAAGUUUUAAUAAAGUUAUGAUCUUUUCACU